GUGAAUCAUCAAAUUUUUGAACGCAUAUUGCGCUCUUUGGUAUUCCGAAGAGCAUGCUUGUUUGAGGGUCAGCCUAUAAAAAAUCGACAUCGUUGCUGUUUCGCGGUGGCGUUCGUCGGAAAUUGGGUCAUCUUAAAUCUUUUGGUUUUAAGCGACUUAAAAUUUUCUUUUUGGUUCCAUAAGCGUUUCUAAGAUCUAUUUCUUUACACGUUUAAGGUAUCGAUUUUUACUAGACGUGACCAUCAUAUCGGAUCGCGUCCAUAAUCUUUCAUUAACUGACCUCAGACAGGUAAGAGUACC
rnacentral:misc_RNA from 1 species